rnacentral:rRNA from 1 species
AGAGUUUGAUCAUGGCUCAGGAUGAACGCUGGCGGCGUGCCUAAUACAUGCAAGUCGAGCGGUAACACUUCGGGUGACGAGCGGCGGACGGCAGAGUAACACGUAGGAAUGUACCCCAGAGUGAGGGAUAAGCACCGGAAACGGUGUCUAAUACCGCAUAAUCUCUUAGGAGCAAAGCUUCGGCGCUUUGGGAACGGCCUGCGUAUGAUUAGCUUGUUGGUGAGGUAAUGGCUUACCAAGGCGACGAUCAUUAGCUGGUCUGAGAGGAUGAUCAGCCUGACUGGGACUGAGACACGGCCCAGACUCCUACGGGAGGCAGCAGUAGGGAAUUUUCCACAAUGGGCGAAAGCCUGAUGGAGCAACGCCGCGUGCAGGAUGAAGGCCUUCGGGUCGUAAACUGCUUUUGUUAGUGAAGAUUAUGACGGUAACUAACGAAUAAGGGUCUGCUAACUACGUGCCAGCAGCCGCGGUCAUACGUGGGACCCAAGCGUUAUCCGGAAUUACUGGGCGUAAAGAGUUGCGUAGGUGGCAGAGUAAGUUGGUAGUGAAAGCGUGUGGCUCAACCAUACAAACAUUACCAAAACUGCUCAGCUAGAGGACAAGAGAGGUCACUGGAAUUCCUAGUGUAGGAGUGAAAUCCGUAGAUAUUAGGAGGAACACCAAUGGCGUAGGCAGGUGACUGGCUUGUUCCUGACACUAAGGCACGAAAGCGUGGGGAGCGAACCGGAUUAGAUACCCUAGUAGUCC